AAAUACUUCUUCUAUUUUCUGAGUUUAUGCUAUGACUGUUGAAAUAGAAACGCUUUUUCCAGGUUCCCUGAAAAAUACAAGACCUGAACUGAGGGAGGAAACUUGCAGUGAAUCUGCUUCUUCUCUGCCUUCUUUCUCUGCAAUCUGAGCAACUGCUGGUGUACUGAAGCCUUACUUCCUGGGAAGUGGCUGAACAUCGCCUGCUGAUGAGAGGUUUGAAUAACCAAUGUGGAAUGAAUUUUAUGGCUGCUGGUUGGAUUUGACCCUAAUGUACACAAUAAUACACUAGUUGCUGAAUUAACCAAAAAAAAAACCCCAAAAAAACCAAACAAAAAAACCAACCAAAAUAAUCCCCAGACAAAUGCUCCAAGAAACAAAACCAGAAGUAAAACACAUUUAUACUCAGAUAUUUUGGAUUGUGGUUAAAAAAAAAUCUAGUUUAGAAAUGUUUUCUGGUUGCUGGUUAUGAAGUCCA